AUAUACAGAACUAAAUAUUGUAAACCAUUACCUCAAAAGAGAUAAUAUAGAAAUACGAUGAUCUUAGUUAUAUUGCAGAUAAACAAAUAAUUUAGCAUACCAAUUUAGCUAGAAUUUCAAAUGUUUUACUAUAUUAAUUGUUAUUAUACAGGCAG